rnacentral:rRNA from 1 species
UAGGGAAUAUUGGGCAAUGGGCGAAAGCCUGACCCAGCAACGCCGCGUGCACGAUGAAGGCCUUCGGGUCGUAAAGUGCUUUUCUGAGGAAUGAGUAAGGACAGUACCUCAGGAAUAAGCCUCGGCUAACUACGUGCCAGCAGCCGCGGUAAAACGUAGGAGGCGAGCGUUAUCCGGAUUUACUGGGCGUAAAGCGUGUGUAGGCGGUUCGGCAAGUUGGAUGUGAAAGCUCCUGGCUUAACUAGGAGAG